GAUGAACGCUAGCGGGAGGCCUAACACAUGCAAGCCGAGCGGUAUUGUUUCUUCGGAAAUGAGAGAGCGGCGUACGGGUGCGGAACACGUGUGCAACCUGCCUUUAUCUGGGGGAUAGCCUUUCGAAAGGAGAUUAAUACUCCAUAAUAUAUUGAACGGCAUCGUUUAAUAUUGAAAGCUCCGGCGGAUAGAGAUGGGCACGCGCAAGAUUAGCUAGUUGGUGAGGUAACGGCUCACCAAGGCGAUGAUCUUUAGGGGCCUGAGAGGGUGAUCCCCCACACUGGUACUGAGACACGGACCAGACUCCUACGGGAGGCAGCAGUGAGGAAUAUUGGUCAAUGGGUGCAAGCCUGAACCAGCCAUCCCCGCGUGAAGGACGACUGCCCUAUGGGUUGUAAACUUCUUUGUAUAGGGAUAAACCUACCCUCGUGAGGGUAGCUGAAGGUACUAUACGAAUAAGCACCGGCUAACUCCGUGCCAGCAGCCGCGGUAAU
rnacentral:rRNA from 1 species